UACGAAGGGGGCUAGCGUUGUUCGGAUUUACUGGGCGUAAAGCGCGUGUAGGCGGGCUGAUAAGUUGGGGGUGAAAUCCCGAGGCUCAACCUCGGAACUGCCUCCAAAACUGUCAGCCUGGAGCAAAGUAGAGGCGAGUGGAAUUGCGAGUGUAGAGGUGAAAUUCGUAGAUAUUCGCAGGAACACCAGUGGCGAAGGCGACUCGCUGGACUUUUGCUGACGCUGAGACGCGAAAGCGUGGGGAGCAAACAGG
rnacentral:rRNA from 1 species